rnacentral:rRNA from 1 species
ACUGCCCACAUUGGGACUGGAGACCCCGGCCCAAGACUUCCUACCGGAGGCAGCAGUGGGGGAUUUUGCACCAAUGGCGAAGCCUGAUGCAGCGGACGCCCCCGUGGAGGGAUGACGCCUUCCGGGUUGUAAACCUCUUUCAGCUCCUGACGAAGCUUUAUUGUGACGGUAGGAGCAGAAGAAGCACCCGGCUAACUACGUGCCAGCAGCCGCGGUAAUACGUAGGGUGCGAGCGUGUCCGGGAAUUAUUGGGCGUAAAGAGCUGUAGGCGGCUUGUCGCGUCUGCUGUGAAAUCCCGGGGCUCAACCUCGGGCUUGCAGUGGGUACGGGCAGGCUAGAGUAUGGUAGGGGAGACUGGAAUUCCUGGUGUAGCGGUGGAAUGCGCAGAUAUCAGGAGGAACACCGAUGGCGAAGGCAGGUCUCUGGGCCAUCACUGACGCUGAGAAGCGAAAGCGUGGGGAGCGAACAGGAUUAGAUACCCUGGUAGUCCACGCCGUAAACGUUGGGCGCUAGGUGUGGGUCCCAUUCCACGGGGUCCGUGCCGCAGCUAACGCAUUAAGCGCCCCGCCUGGGGAGUACGGCCGCAAGGCUAAAACUCAAAGGAAUUGACGGGGGCCCGCACAAGCGGCGGAGCAUGCGGAUUAAUUCGAUGCAACGCGAAGAACCUUACCAAGGCUUGACAUGUACCGGAAACUCCCAGAGAUGGGGGCCCCGCAAGGUCGGUACACAGGUGGUGCAUGGUUGUCGUCAGCUCGUGUCGUGAGAUGUUGGGUUAAGUCCCGCAACGAGCGCAACCCUCGUUCUAUGUUGCCAGCACGUGAUGGUGGGGACUCAUAGGAGACUGCCGGGGUCAACUCGGAGGAAGGUGGGGAUGACGUCAAAUCAUCAUGCCCCUUACGUCUUGGGCUUCACGCAUGCUACAAUGGCCGGUACAGAGGGCUGCGAUACCGCGAGGUGGAGCGAAUCCCUUAAAGCCGGUCUCAGUUCGGAUUGGGGUCUGCAACUCGACCCCAUGAAGUCGGAGUCGCUAGUAAUCGCAGAUCAGCAACGCUGCGGUGAAUACGUUCCCGGGCCUUGUACACACCGCCCGUCAAGUCACGAAAGUCGGUAACACCCGAAGCCGGUGGCCCAACCCCUUGUGGGAGGGAGCUGUCGAAGGUGGGGCUGGA